rnacentral:rRNA from 1 species
UACGUAGGGUACAAGCGUUGUCCGGAAUUAUUGGGCGUAAAGAGCUCGUAGGUGGUCUGUCACAUCUGCUGUGGAAACGCAAGGCUCAACCUUGCGCGUGCAGUGGGUACGGGCGGACUAGAGUGCAGUAGGGGAGUCUGGAAUUCCUGGUGUAGCGGUGAAAUGCGCAGAUAUCAGGAGGAACACCGGUGGCGAAGGCGGGACUCUGGGCUGUAACUGACGCUGGAGGAGCGAAAGCAUGGGGAGCGAACAGGA